rnacentral:rRNA from 1 species
UACGUAGGUGGCAAGCGUUGUCCGGAUUUAUUGGGUUUAAAGGGUGCGUAGGCGGCUUAUUAAGUCAGUGGUGAAAUACUCUAGCUCAACUAGAGGGGUGCCAUUGAUACUGAUGAGCUUGAGUACAGAUGAGGUAGGCGGAAUUGACGGUGUAGCGGUGAAAUGCUUAGAUAUCGUCAAGAACACCUAUAGCGAAGGCAGCUUACUAGGCUGUAACUGACGCUGAGGCACGAAGGCCAGGGGAGCAAACGGG